CCUACGGGUGGCAGCAGUGAGGAAUAUUGGUCAAUGGUCGGGAGACUGAACCAGCCAAGCCGCGUGAGGGAUGAAGGUACAGAGUAUCGUAAACCUCUUUUGUCAGGGAACAAAGGCGGGCACGCGUCCCCGGAUGAGUGUACCUGAAGACAAAGCAUCGGCUAACUCCGUGCCAGCAGCCGCGGUAAUACGGAGUAUGCGAGCGUUAUCCGGAUUUAUUGGGUUUAAAGGGUGCGCAGGCGGUCUGUUAAGUCAACGGUCAAAGCCCGGGGCUCAACCCCGAACCGCCGUUGAAACUGGGAGUCUCGAGUGGGAGAGAGGUAGGCGGAAGGCGUGGUGUAGCGGUGAAAUGCAUAGAUAUCGCGAAGAACUCCGAUUGCGAAGGCAGCAUGCCGGCUUCAAACUGACGCUGAGGCACGAAAGCGUGGGUAUCGAACAGGAUUAGAUACCCGAGUAGUC
rnacentral:rRNA from 1 species